rnacentral:rRNA from 1 species
CAGCCGCCACGGUAAUACGUAGGUGGCAAGCGUUGUCCGGAAUUAUUGGGCGUAAAGCGCGCGCAGGCGGAUCAGUUAGUCUGUCUUAAAAGUUCGGGGCUUAACCCCGUGAGGGGAUGGAAACUGCUGAUCUAGAGUAUCGGAGAGGAAAGUGGAAUUCCUAGUGUAGCGGUGAAAUGCGUAGAUAUUAGGAAGAACACCAGUGGCGAAGGCGACUUUCUGGACGAAAACUGACGCUGAGGCGCGAAAGCCAGGGGAGCGAACGGGAUUAGAUACCCCUGUAGUCCCUGUCUCUUAUACA